rnacentral:rRNA from 1 species
GGGCCUACACAUGCAGUCGACGGUAACAGGAAGCAGCUUGCUGCUUCGCUGACGAGUGGCGGACGGGUGAGUAAUGUCUGGGAAACUGCCUGAUGGAGGGGGAUAACUACUGGAAACGGUAGCUAAUACCGCAUAACGUCGCAAGACCAAAGAGGGGGACCUUCGGGCCUCUUGCCAUCAGAUGUGCCCAGAUGGGAUUAGCUAGUAGGUGGGGUAACGGCUCACCUAGGCGACGAUCCCUAGCUGGUCUGAGAGGAUGACCAGCCACACUGGAACUGAGACACGGUCCAGACUCCUACGGGAGGCAGCAGUGGGGAAUAUUGCACAAUGGGCGCAAGCCUGAUGCAGCCAUGCCGCGUGUAUGAAGAAGGCCUUCGGGUUGUAAAGUACUUUCAGCGGGGAGGAAGGCGAUGCGGUUAAUAACCGCGUCGAUUGACGUUACCCGCAGAAGAAGCACCGGCUAACUCCGUGCCAGCAGCCGCGGUAAUACGGAGGGUGCAAGCGUUAAUCGGAAUUACUGGGCGUAAAGCGCACGCAGGCGGUCUGUCAAGUCGGAUGUGAAAUCCCCGGGCUCAACCUGGGAACUGCAUCCGAAACUGGCAGGCUUGAGUCUCGUAGAGGGGGGUAGAAUUCCAGGUGUAGCGGUGAAAUGCGUAGAGAUCUGGAGGAAUACCGGUGGCGAAGGCGGCCCCCUGGACGAAGACUGACGCUCAGGUGCGAAAGCGUGGGGAGCAAACAGGAU